rnacentral:misc_RNA from 1 species
UACGGAGGAUGCAAGCGUUAUCCGGAUUUAUUGGGUUUAAAGGGUACGUAGGCGGAAAAUUAAGUCAGUAGUGAAAUCCUGCAGCUUAACUGUAGAACUGUUAUUGAUACUGGUUUUCUUGAAUGUAGUUGAGGUAGGCGGAAUGUGUAAUGUAGCGGUGAAAUGCUUAGAUAUUACACAGAACACCGAUUGCGAAGGCAGCUUACUAAGCUACGAUUGACGCUGAGGUACGAAAGCGUGGGGAGCGAACAGG